rnacentral:rRNA from 1 species
CCUACGGGAGGCAGCAGUGAGGAAUAUUGGUCAAUGGACGCAAGUCUGAACCAGCCAUGCCGCGUGCAGGAAGACGGCUCUAUGAGUUGUAAACUGCUUUUGUACGAGGGUAAAGGCAGAUACCCGUAUAUGUCUGAAAGUAUCGUACGAAUAAGGAACGGAUAACUCCGUUCCAGCAGCCGAGGUAAUACGGAGGAUUCAAGCGUUAUCCGGAUUUAUUGGGUUUAAAGGGUGCGUAGGCGGUCGGAUAAGUUAGAGGUGAAAUCCCGAGGCUCAACUUCGGAACUGCCUCUGAUACUGUUCGGCUAGAGAGUAGUUGCGGUAGGCGGAAUGUAUGGUGUAGCGGUGAAAUGCUUAGAGAUCAUACAGAACACCGGUUGCGAAGGCAGCUUACCAAGCUACUUCUGACGUUGAGGCACGAAAGCGUGGGGAGCAAACAGGAUUAGAUACCCUUGUAGUC